rnacentral:rRNA from 1 species
GACGAACGCUGGCGGCGUGCUUAACACAUGCAAGUCGAACGGAAAGGCCCUGCUUUUGUGGGGUGCUCGAGUGGCGAACGGGUGAGUAACACGUGAGUAACCUGCCCUUGACUUUGGGAUAACUUCAGGAAACUGGGGCUAAUACCGGAUAGGAGCUCCUGCUGCAUGGUGGGGGUUGGAAAGUUUCGGCGGUUGGGGAUGGACUCGCGGCUUAUCAGCUUGUUGGUGGGGUAGUGGCUUACCAAGGCUUUGACGGGUAGCCCGCCUGGGAGGGGGACCGGCCUCAUGGGUCCUGCGAGACGGCGCAGACGCCAACGGGACGCAGAAGUGGGGAGUAUUGCACAGUGGGCGGGAGCCUGUUGCAGCAACGCCGCGUGCGGGAUGACGUCCUUCUGGUUGUAAACCGCUGUCGCCUUUGACGAAGCGUGAGUGACGGUAAUGGGUAAAGAAGCACCGGCUAACUACGUG